rnacentral:rRNA from 1 species
UACAGAGGUCCCAAGCGUUGUUCGGAUUCACUGGGCGUAAAGGGUGCGUAGGCGGUCGGGUAAGUCUGAUGUGAAAUCUCACAGCUUAACUGUGAAACUGCAUUGGAUACUAUUCGGCUUGAGAGUUGGAGGGGGGACUGGAAUUCUUGGUGUAGCAGUGAAAUGCGUAGAUAUCAGGAGGAACACCGGUGGCGAAGGCGGGUCUCUGGGCCGAUACUGACACUGAGGAGCGAAAGCGUGGGGAGCGAACAGG